rnacentral:rRNA from 1 species
CAGUAGCCACGGGAAUACAGAGGGUGCGAGCGUUAAUCGGAUUUACUGGGCGUAAAGCGUGCGUAGGCGGCUAAUUGAGUCGGAUGUGAAAUCCCCGAGCUUAACUUGGGAAUUGCAUUCGAUACUGGUUAGCUAGAGUGUGGGAGAGGAUGGUAGAAUUCCAGGUGUAGCGGUGAAAUGCGUAGAGAUCUGGAGGAAUACCGAUGGCGAAGGCAGCCAUCUGGCCUAACACUGACGCUGAGGUACGAAAGCAUGGGGAGCAAACAGGAUUAGAGACCCCAGUAGUCCCUGUCUCUUAUAC